UACGAAGGGGACUAGCGUUGUUCGGAAUUACUGGGCGUAAAGCGCACGUAGGCGGAUUUGUAAGUCAGGGGUGAAAUCCCGGGGCUCAACCUCGGAACUGCCUUUGAUACUGCAAAUCUCGAGUCCGGAAGAGGUGAGUGGAAUUCCUAGUGUAGAGGUGAAAUUCGUAGAUAUUAGGAAGAACACCAGUGGCGAAGGCGGCUCACUGGUCCGGUACUGACGCUGAGGUGCGAAAGCGUGGGGGAGCAAACAGG
rnacentral:rRNA from 1 species